AGUGAACGCUGGCGGUAGGCCUAACACAUGCCAGUCGAACGGCAGCACAGGAGAGCUUGCUCUCUGGGUGGCGAGUGGCGGACGGGUGAGGAAUACAUCGGAAUCUGCCCAAUCGUGGGGGAUAACGUAGGGAAACUUACGCUAAUACCGCAUACGACCUUCGGGUGAAAGAGGGGGAUCGCAAGACCUCUCGCGAUUGGAUGAGCCGAUGUCGGAUUAGCUAGUUGGCGGGGUAAUGGCCCACCAAGGCGACGAUCCGUAGCUGGUCUGAGAGGAUGAUCAGCCACACUGGAACUGAGACACGGUCCAGACUCCUACGGGAGGCAGCAGUGGGGAAUAUUGGACAAUGGGCGCAAGCCUGAUCCAGCCAUACCGCGUGGGUGAAGAAGGCCUUCGGGUUGUAAAGCCCUUUUGUUGGGAAAGAAAUCUUUCAGGCUAAUACCCUGGGAGGAUGACGGUACCCAAAGAAUAAGCACCGGCUAACUUCGUG
rnacentral:rRNA from 1 species